GGUGUAGACAUGGUUGUAUGGACG
rnacentral:siRNA from 1 species